GCCUCGGUGGUGUAGUGGUCAAGGCGAUCGCCUGGUAAACAGGAGGGCCCGGGUUAGAACCCAGCCGAGGCA
rfam:Asian citrus Psyllid, Diaphorina citri - Florida Strain, whole genome shotgun sequence.